rnacentral:rRNA from 1 species
GACGAACGCUGGCGGCGUGCUUAACACAUGCAAGUCGAACGGAAAGGCCCUGCUUGCAGGGUACUCGAGUGGCGAACGGGUGAGUAACACGUGGGUGAUCUGCCCUGCACUUCGGGAUAAGCCUGGGAAACUGGGUCUAAUACCGGAUAGGAGCCAUUUUUAGUGUGAUGGUUGGAAAGUUUUUUUCGGUGUAGGAUGAGCUCGCGGCCUAUCAGCUUGUUGGUGGGGUAAUGGGCUACCAAGGCGGCGACGGGUAGCCGGCCUGAGAGGGUGGACGGCCACAUUGGGACCGAGAUACGGCCCAGACUCCUACGGGAGGCAGCAGGGGGGAAUAUUGCACAAUGGGCGCAAGCCUGAUGCAGCGACGCCGCGUGGGGGAUGACGGCCUUCGGGCUGGAAACUCCUUUCGCUAGGGACGAAGCUUUUUGUGACGGUACCUAGAUAAGAAGCACCGGCUAACUACGUG